rnacentral:rRNA from 1 species
GUCGUACGAGAAAGUCGGCUUCGGCCGAUGAGUACAGUGGCGCACGGGUGAGUAGCGCGUGGGUAAUCUGCCCCUCGGUCAGGAAUAACCCGCCGAAAGGCGGGCUAAUACCCGAUAACACUGACGCUCUGCGGAGCGUCUUUCAAAGAAGGCCUCUGUUUACAAGCUUUCGCCGGAGGAUGAGCCCGCGUACCAUUAGCUAGUUGGCAGGGUAAUGGCCUACCAAGGCAACGAUGGUUAGCUGGUCUGAGAGGAUGGCCAGCCACACUGGAACUGAGACACGGUCCAGACUCCUACGGGAGGCAGCAGUGAGGAAUCUUGCGCAACGGGGGAAGCCCUGACGCAGCAACGCCGCGUGAGUGAGGAAGGCUUUCGGGUCGUAAAGCUCUGUCAGAUGGGAAGAAAUGGAUGGGAGCCAAUACCUUUCAUUCUUGACGGUACCAUCAGAGGAAGCACCGGCUAACUCCGUGCCAGCAGCCGCGGUAAUACGGGGGGUGCGAGCGUUAUUCGGAAUCAUUGGGCGUAAAGGGCGCGUAGGCGGCCUGUUAAGUCAGAUGUGAAAGCCCGGGGCUUAACCCCGGAAGUGCAUUUGAAACUAAUUGGCUUGAGUAUGGGAGAGGGAAGUGGAAUUCCUGGUGUAGAGGUGAAAUUCGUAGAUAUCAGGAGGAACACCGGUGGCGAAGGCGACUUCCUGGACCAAUACUGACGCUGAGGCGCGAAGGCGUGGGUAGCAAACAGGAUUAGAUACCCUGGUAGUCCACGCAGUAAACGUUGAACACUAGGUGUAGCGGGUAUUGACCCCUGCUGUGCCGCAGUUAACGCAUUAAGUGUUCCGCCUGGGAAGUACGGCCGCAAGGUUAAAACUCAAAUGAAUUGACGG